rnacentral:tRNA from 1 species
GCCAUGGCUCAGCGGUAGAGUGUCUGCUUGGCAUGCAGAAGUUCCCAGGUUCAAUCCCUGUUAUCUCUG